rnacentral:rRNA from 1 species
GAUUAUGGCUCAGGAUGAACGCUAGCGAUAGGCCUAACACAUGCAAGUCGAGGGGCAGCACAUGAGUAGCAAUACGAUGGUGGCGACCGGCGCACGGGUGAGUAACACGUAUGCAACCUACCUUUAACAGGGGAAUAACCCGUGAAAAACGGACUAAUACUCCAUAACACAGGGGUCCCGCAUGGGAAUAUUUGUUAAAGAUUAAUCGGUUGAAGAUGGGCAUGCGUUCCAUUAGCUUGUUGGUGAGGUAACGGCUCACCAAGGCCACGAUGGAUAGGGGAACUGAGAGGUUUAUCCCCCCACACUGGAACUGAGACACGGUCCAGACUCCUACGGGAGGCAGCAGUGAGGAAUAUUGGUCAAUGGAGGCAACUCUGAACCAGCCAAGUCGCGUGAAGGAUGAAGGUCUUAUGGAUUGUAAACUUCUUUUGCAAGGGAAUAAAGUGGGGGACGUGUCCUCCUUUGCAUGUACCUUGCGAAUAAGGAUCGGCUAACUCCGUGCCAGCAGCCGC